rnacentral:lncRNA from 10 species
UAUAGUACAUUUCAUUAUGUAAUAUAUUAUAUGUUUGUGUUAGUUAUCCAUAUCCUUCCAUUAGAAAAUGAGGGUCUUGAUUUUGUUCAAUUCUAUAUUUUCUUUAUGUAGGAUGUAACUGGCUCUCAAUCAAUAUUUGUUGUUCGAAGAAAGAGAGAAGGAAGGAGGAUAUAAAUUAUUUCAUUUAUAUGCAGAGCAAGCAACAUAAAAUAUCCUUAAAUCCAGGCAAUUUGUGGUGCUAACAGAGAUCUUACUGCAGUAUUUUGAAUCCAGACUGUUGUCCUUCCUUUAGGUUUAUAGAGCACUGUUUAAUAUUUUCCAGAAAAAAAACUCAGUUUGAAAGAUAAUUUAAAUGAGAGAGAUAAGCCACUGAAUGGAAGACAAACUCAAACAGCAUGGGAAAAGAAAAACAAUGGAAAGCAACAGAGAGGAAGUCUCACUAUCUUAGCCUAUCUGGUCUUGAACUUCUGUCCUCAAGCAAUUCUCCUGCCUCGGCCUCCCAAAGUGGAUUUCGUCUUCAAAUAUUCAUAAUGGAUACAGUUUACCAGGCACAAUCUAAGGCACAAACACAGCUUCUGGAUAUAUUAGCAUUGCCCUCCUCCCUAUACCCCAUUUAUAUCACAAAGAUGCUAAGCUCCAUGUGAGGUGAGGAAAUGUGUAAAGUGAAUGUUAUAAAUGUUAACAGCAGCAGUUCAUAAAUCACCUAUUAAAGACUGGGACACCUAAGACACUGUGUGCUCUACAACAGUGCAAAAAAAAUCUCCAGUUUCUCUUCAGACAAACGAUUUUUCUCAAGAAAGACUACAAGCACUAUUUUUUGAGUAACCACAUUAAAAAAAAACCUAACUCCUGUCUUAACCAUUCUAAUUAAGCUACAGCUAUGCUUCCAGACCAAGAACAGGUACUCGCAGGUGGAGCUGCAACUCAGCAACAGAACAUGUAAAAUUUGAAGCCAUAACUUUGAGAACUUUGUUCCCCGUAAUGUGCUCAGGCAUUUCUGUGCAGCAUGUCUUGUCACCAUGCCUGCUGCUGCUCAAUGCACAGUCACGCAAGCUGACAAAUAGGUCAACAUCCUGAAGUGUAGUCUCAAAGGUGCUCAGAAUUCUUCCAGAUGAAGUCUCGCUCUGUCACCAGGCUGGAGCAUAGUGGUGUGAUCUUGGCUAACUGCAACGUCCGCCUCCCGGGUUCAAACAAUUCUCCUGCCUCAGCCUCCCGAGUAGCUGGAACUACAGGCAUGAGCCACCAUGCCCGGAUUAUUUUUGUAUUUUUAGUAGAGACGAGGUUUCACCAUGUUGGCGAGGACACAAGGUUUUCUUAAAUGUAGAAGAAAGAAACAGGACAGUCUGAACCAGAGAGAUGGCAUUAUAAGAAUGGUUUUGCUGGCUUCGAAGAUUUCAAAAGAAACUUGAAUCAAGAAAUCCAGGAAUCUUCCAGGAGUUGUAAAAGGCAAGAAAAUGGAUUCUUUCUUGGAGCCUCCAUGAGGGAAUACAGCCCUGUCAACACCUUUAUUUUAGUCCAAUAAGACCCAUUUCAUAUUUUGACCCCUAGAACCAUAAGAUAAAUUUGUCUUGUUUGAAGCCAUUAAGUUUGUGGUAAUUUUACACAGCAGCAAUAGGGAGCUAAUACACUUCCCAAGUUAUUUAAACCAUCCCCCAGAUGCCCAGAAACUGCUCCCUCCUUACUAAAUAUCUUUCCUAUUUCAGUCACCUGUCAUUACUCCCAAACUAUAUUUAUUUGUAAGAUGAUCAUUAUAAUUUGAUAAGAUAGUGGUAUUUUCUAUGAAUUUCUUUGUCAGAAAAAUUACCGGGAGAGUUAUUACCAGGCCUAAUGAAUAUUUAAGCCAUGAUUAUUCAGCUAUUUUAAUUAAUGUCAUUUCAGACACCAAUCUAGAAGCAAAAUGUAUUCUUGACUCCUCAAAUAGUACACACUAACUUUAUUGUUAUUUUUAAUUUUAAGGAGAUAAACUUGCUGUUUGUGUUAUGAGUUGAUCUCUCCUAAAAAACCUAUUUUUAGAAAAUUGGGCAUUGUUGUUACAAAGAGAAUAAAAUGCCUAGGAAUGUAGCUAACAAGGGAAGUGAAAGCCCUCUUUCUGGAGAACUACAAACCAUUGCUCAAGAAAAUCAGAGAGGACAAAAAUAAAUGGAAAAACAUUCCAUGCUCAUUAAUAGAAAGAACAAAUAUUGUGAAAAUGGCCAUACUGCACAAAGUAAUUUACAGAUUCUAUGCUAUUCCCAUUAAACUACCAUUGAUAUUCUUCACAGAAUUAAAAAAAAAGCUACUUUAAAAUUCAUGUGGAAGCAAAAAAGAGCCCGUAUAGCCAAGACAAUCCUAAGCAAACAAAGAACAAAAGUAGAGGCAUCAUGCUGACUUUGAACUAUACCAGAAGGCUACAGUAACCAAAACAACAUGAUACAGGUACAAAAACAGACACCAGACCAAUAGAACAGAAUAGAGGUCUUAGAAAUAAGACCACAUAUUUAUAACCAUCUGAUAUUCAACAAACCUGACAAAUACAUGCAAUGGAGAAAGGAUCUCCUAUUCAGUAAAUCGUGCUGGGAAAACCACUAGCUGUAUAUAGAAAACUGAAACUGGACCCCUUCCUUACACUUUAUACAAAAAUUAAUUCAAGAUGGACUAAAGACUUAAAUGUAAAACCCAGAACCAUAAAAACCCUAGAAGAAAACCUAGGCAACACCAUUCAGAACAUAGGCAUGGGUGAAGACUUCAUGACAAAAAUGGCAAAAUCAAUUGCAAGAAAAGCCAAAAUGGACAAAUGGGGUCUAAUUAAACUAAGGAGCUUCUGCACAGCAAAAGAAACUGUCAUCAGAGUAAACAGGCAACCUACAGAAUGGGAGAAAAUUUUUGCAAUUUAUCCAUCUGACAAAUGUCUAAUAUCCAGAAAUUACAUGGAACUUAAACAUAUUUACAAGAAAAAGACAACCCCAUCAAAAACUGGGAAAACGAUGUGAACAGACACUUCUCAAAAGAAUAUAUUUACGUGGCCAAAAAACAUAUGAAAAAGGCUCAAUAUCACUGAUCAUCAGAGAAAUGCAAAUCAAAACCACAAUGAGAUACAAUCUCAUGCCAGUCAGAAUGGCGAUUAUUAAAAAGUCAGAAAACAAUAGAUGCUGGCAAGGCUGUGGAGAAAUAAGAAUGCUUUUACAUUGUUGACGGGAAUGUAAAUUAGUUCAACCAUUGUGGAAGACAGUAUGGUAAUUCCUCAAGGAUCUAGAGCCAGAAAUACCAUUUAACCCAGCAAUCAGAUUACUGGGUAUAUACCCAAAGGAAUAUAAAUCACUCUAUUAUAAAGCUACAUGUACACAUAUAUUCAUUGCUAUUCUUAUUCACAAUAGCAAAGACAUGGAAUUAACCCAAAUGCCCAUCAAUGAUAGACCAGACAAAGAAAAUGUGGUACAUAUACACCAUAGAAUACUAUGCAGUCAUAAGAAGAAAGAGAUCAUGUCCUUUCCGGGACAUGGAUGGAGCUGGAAGCCAUUAUCCUCCAAACACCACAUGUUCUCACUGAUAAGUGAGAGCUGAACAAUGAGAACACAUGGACACUAGGAGGAGGAGAACAACACACACUGGGGCCUGUCGGAAGGGGCUGGGAGAGGGAGAGUAUCAGGAUAAAUAGCUAAUACACAUGGGGCUUAAUACCUAGGUGAUGGGUUCACAGGUGCAGCAAACCACCAUGGCACAUAUUAACCUAUGUAACAAACCUGCACAUCCUGCACAUGUAUCAAAUAAAUAAAGACACACACACACACAUAUACACAUAUAUAUAUGGAUGAAGAGGAAAAAGAAGAAAAUUAGGCAUUGUUUCAUCUUCCUAUAAUAGGUAUGUAGGUGGAGCAUAAGUGAAUGAGAAUAAUUAUAGUGAUCUCAUUUUUAACACAAUUUCAUCAAGAUAUUUCAAAUGUAUUUAAAAGAUUGUCAAGGUCAGAUAAAAUUAAGAAUUGAAGAAGAAAUCAUAUUAGUGUUUAUGGAUGCAUAGAUUUCUU